rnacentral:tRNA from 1 species
AACCUUGUAGUGAAAUUCACGCCGAAUUGCAAAUUUGGAGAUACACAGUAGAGUGGUGUCCUGGUUU